GCCAGGCUGGUGGCAUAAGCCUGUAAUCCCAGUGGCUUGGGAGGCUGAGGCAGGAGGAUCACAAGUUCAAAGCCAGCCUCAGCAACUUAGCAAGGCCCUAAGCAACUUAGUGAGACCCUGUCUCAA
rnacentral:sRNA from 1 species